UGGCACAACUCAGUAGCUUGCAACAUCGAGCGAGGCCUUGUAGCUCACUAGGUUGCUAAGAUUUGGCGGAAACAAUGGUGCUGCUAUAUCAAGUAUAUUGAUACACUAACAGCAAACUGGAAGCAGUAUCAAGUAGAUUUGAAACACGAUGUAACAUCAAGAAUUACAAUCGAAAAUCUGACAAUCCCAAUUGAACUGUCAAAAUAUUCCAAUGAUUGAUGGUUUGCAUCAGGUUUAUCUGAAGUUCAAUGGCUGCAUUACUGCUUGCAUCAGUGUUUUAUGUAGUUCUGUUCUAAUAUUGCUGCCUGUAUUAGAUGCAAAUAAUUGUAUCUGCGUUAUCCUCUCCAUUGUCACAUAUGCUGGUUAGUGGGUCAAUGCCUGGUGCCUUCAUAAGGGCUGUCUUCACAUAUGUUGACCAUAUAUGCGCUUUCUGCCAUGAGUCUGUCAUAAUUUAAUAUUUGAGCAUGCUUGCAGCCAAAUAUAUCUCUCACAAACCAUUUGAUCUCAUGUGAGUUCCCCUCUCUCUUCUCUUAUUUUCGCCCUCCAACCAUAUAUAACUGCUGGUCACAAGCAGUUGCUACUUUCUCUGCUCUAAUAUUCUACCUUGAACCAUAGCUACUCCUCACAUGCUCAAUGAAAUGCAUGCAGGGAAUAUUAGUUAUAAUAACUGGUACACUAUCUCUUCCUGUGAUCGCCCUCCAAGCACAUGAAGAUGAAAUGGCUAUUACUGAAGAUAAUCUUGGACAACCUAGCUGUAGCUAUGCAUCUUAUAUAUUCUAUCACCAACAGCUAUUUAAGAUCAUCAGAUCUGUAGCUCAAUGUAUAAAGCAUCUUCUCAUGUUGACAUGUAAUCCGGCUUAAAAAUAACUUUGGAUCUAUAUGAAGGUUGAAACUUGUAAUGUAGAUCAGUCAUAAAAUUUUCAAUAUAUACAUAUAGUGUGUUUCAAAGUAACAGCUAUUUUCAUAAGUUUUUUCUGUAUACUAAAACUGGGCUGUGAUAUCAAUAAUCUAGGAAAUCAAAUAAAUUAGUUCAAUUAAACUGAAACGAAUCAUUACAUAAGUUAUAAGUAAAGAAAAGAUAUCUGAUCUUGCGUCUAUUUAUCUAAUUUCAGGACUACCUCUCAAUCACCUAAAGCAAAGACAAGAUCAACGAAGCGAAAAAAAAAGCAAGGAGAAUCCAAAGGGUUAUUCUAUGUACGCUGAAAUACCACCAGAUGCAAUGCCGCUGCUUGAGCCUCGACUGAAAGAAGGAAAAAAUAGUUCUCAUGAGGAAGAUAACAGUUGAGAGCACAACCUGGAUUCAAAGUGGUCCGAAAUCCUUAUAUGAUCAGGGUAAAUAGGAAAACUGAAAUAGCUGAAGUGCAUAAUCUGCCUCCUGAGUUUCCAAAAUACACUUCCUCUUACAAUAUUUCCAGAUUUAUAUCAGCACACGAACAAAACUGAUCAAUUUCUUGCAAGAGUGUUAACCAGUCAAGGGGAAUUACAGACAAAGAAGGAUUAUCAACCUACAGGAUCUCAGUGGCAACAGAGUUGAACUCUCGCUUUGGGGAGCAAGAGCAUUGGAAUUCAAUGGAGAAUCAGUUUAUCAAAUUGGACAAAAAAACACAUUAUAGCUAUCUUUAUUGGGACUUCCAUGAAGUCAUAUAGUGGCAGGCCUCCUUUCUUAAGCGGAACUUCAGCUUGCCGUUGGUACAUAAAUUUAGAUGAAAUUGAUAGAAUCACAGCUUUUUAUAGAAGGUAAUAAAUACAAAUAUAUCUUCUUCUGCUCCUCUUUUCAUAUACUUUCCUGAGAGCUAUUUUAUGGAGUAUACUACAGUAUAACGUAUCAUGUUCAAUUAAAAGAAAUACUCUUCAAGAUUAAUUUCACUUUUUCCCUUGCACUGGUGUAGUUUGAGCAAUACAGAUAUUUCUUUGUGCACAAUUUUUUAGCCCUGCUGAUUCAGCAAUUUCCCACGUUUCAAAUUAUAAGACAUAUCUUUGCCAUUUUUUAAGUCAUUUGAUUACAAUAUCAGUUAUACAAGGUUAUCAAAUUAUCUCAAACGGUGUUCUUAUGUAUCGCUACCGCUUUGCUGGUGCUAUAUCUCAUAGACUGGAUAUCCAUCCAACUACCUUCAAAUCUGCUUAAUUAUAAUUAUAAGUAUACCAGUUCCUGAAAUGCCUUUCAAAACAAAUAAACUUUCUUUGGAAAAUGCAAUUACUCCAAAUGCUCACGUCUAAACCAUGGAUUACAAAGCACAUAGACAAUAGCUUUAUUUCAUCACG